rnacentral:sRNA from 1 species
UAUCGGUUAGGAUGCGAGUACGUCUUC